UAACGAUUUUUUUUUCCUGUCCAAAUUUUGUUUCGUACCCAAUUGUUUUUUCGUUCCAAAUUUUAUUUCGUACCCAUAUUUCUUCUGUAUCAUUUUUCGUACCCAAAAUUUUCGCACCCACAUUUUUUUUCGUAUCCAAUUUUUAGGGGGCAUAAUUUCUUCGUGCCCAAAAUUUAUACUCGCCAUCACGACAUUAAGUAAAGUCUCGACGUAAAUGUUUACGGCUUUUCACGAAAAAAUAUUUGAUCGACAUGAUCUAAGUCGACAAAUCAACAUAAUUUUUGGCGUCAUGCUCUUGUGAAAAUGACUUUCCAUCAUAGUUUUAGUCGACACGAUGAGUUAUCUUUUUACACCAUGACACCAUUUACAUAUCAUGCCGUCAUAGAAUGUUGACAUAAUCACAGCAUCAGGUUGUACCAUAUACGUUUCCAUAAAAUAAGGUUAUGUCUCUAUAUCUUUUUCAAUAAAGAUGAGAUGGUUUUUUGGUUUUAUUUUUUCGUGCCUAAGAACGGUAUGGUAAGGAAGCGUAUAUGUUACAACCCAAUAAUAUGGUCAUGCCGAAUUAAUUUAUAUCGACUUACUGUGAAAUAACAUGGUAUGUCGACAUAAUAUUGUAGUUUUUUUCCCUCUUCAUUUUACUCGCCAUAACGACAUUAAGUUAAAGUCUCGACGUAAAUGUAUCCGGCUUUACCCGAAAAAAAUAUUUGAUUGACAUGAUCUAAGUCGACAAAAUCAACGUAAUUUUUGGCGUCAUGUUCUUGUGAAAAUGACUUGCCAUAAUAGUUUUAGUCGACACGAUGAGUUAUUUUUUACGCCAUUACGACAUCAAAGCAUCACGGUGUAACAUAUACGCUUCGAUAGUAUUGUAAUGUGCUCUGGUCUGUAUAUAACCAUUGAGUAUAAUACACAUUCCUAAAUUCGACAGGUUCCUCAUUCCGAUCAAAAUGUUAAUAUCAGUGCUAUUAAUCUUUAUACUUAAGUCUCUACUACGCCCUUACAUUGAUCAUAUUUAGUUUGCGAGGGCGUUUGAAAGUCUGCACGUAAUCGUAUAAUUCCUGUCCAAAGUAAAAUAAUAAAUCGCCUAAAUAUUGUACUAUUUUGCGAAGGUUAUAAAAUAUAAAGUAUUUUUUUUUUGUUGGAGUUGCCGACUUACUGCAUGGUCUAAGUAGGUCAUACCAUGCGGACGAAACUGGCAUAUCCAUUUGUAAAAUUAAAAAGCAAAAAAGUUGCUUGGAGAAACAAGUGCCCCUGUUCAGGAAACUCAGAUAAAACACAAAUGACCAUAAUGGCUGCAGCUUGUGCUGUAGGACAUUACAUAAAGCCUAUGCUCAUCUUUCCAGGGCAGCGCUUUUCAGACAACAUUUUAGAGGGAUUUGUAAAAAAAAUGCCAUGGGUAGGUCAGACAAUAGUUGAAUGGAUGCUCGAUUGUUCUCGUCGUGGUUAAGAGCAGCUUUCAUCACAGAGUUGGAAGCAAGGCAUGUUAGAAAACCUGUGUUAUUGCUCAAAGAUGAACAUUCAACUCACGUCACAAUAGACGCGUCCAAAACAUGUAAAGAAAACGGGAUUUGAUUAUAUUGAUUGUAAGAUCACUCAUCGAACUUAAUUUAACCAUUUAACGUGCGUCUAUUUGCCAUCAUAAAGGUGGCGUGGCAUGAAGCUGUGCUUAGCUUCAAAUCAUUGCAAAUUAGAGAAUUUGUGAUGACAUUUCCUAGAGUAUUCAAAGUGGUAUGGGGUAAAUGUGCAAUAGUGGAUGCAGCCGUUAAAGUCUUUAAAGAAGCCAGUAUGCUUCCAUGGAAUCUACAAAAAGUUGUCAUCCGUAAAAAUUGCCCUAAGCACCAUUUUAAUGAAGUUACUUCUGUAAUGGCUACGGAAUCAUCAUCUGUUAUGGCUGUUAUGACACCAGCUACUGAUACCUAGGCCUUAUCGCAACUUUUUUUUACGGGAUAGUAGUGUCGCCAAAUGAGAUAAAGACGUUUGAAAUGUUAAGUUUAUAUAUUAAUAUUCUUAUAGCAGCGAUUCUUCCAAUCAAAGUUUGUUCGAGUUGUCUUCAUUUAUUGUAUUUCCCCAUCUUUGUAUCGCCAUUUUUUACGUUUAUAUUAGACACAGCUUUUCUUUGCAAUUUUAUGGCACAGUCUAUUUUACAGUUAUACCGAACGUGUUGGUCAAAGAAAAGGUUCUUUUACACCACUUUUUACAACUGUCAAUUAGGAUGUUACCAUAAAAAUGUCACGAAUAGAACUCGAGGUUUCAGUGAAAUAAUAAGGUUCAUUAAUAAGCAGAGGAGAUUAUACUAUAAAGUAAUGGUCAAUUUAUAUAUUACACUAGGGUUUAUUCAUCUCGAGAUUAAAGUCACUUGUGAUAACACUGUGUUCAAUACCGGUGUAAUACCGGUGUAAUGGUAUAGUAUUCAUUCGAAAUGACACCAAGAUAGUAAAACAGCAUCAUUUGUCGAUUCUGAAAAAUGGUAUUAUGAUUUUAUAUAUUUAUUUACAUAUACAUUUGAUUAUUGCGAUUGGUUAAUAAGAACACGUUGACUUAUUAUUCCAAAUCGUGUUUUCAGCGAAGACGUUAAAUAAUGUUAAUUUUUCAACAAAUUAAAAUAUAGCUGUGCUUACUAUUAUUGUGUAUUGCAUCUGAGUGAACAUAAACGCUGGGCGCUAAUGUUUCUAAGUAACGCACGUGUAGUAAAAACUGGUCACUAUCAAGGGGUCAUAUAAUUUAUAUAUAUAUACAACUAUAGCAUAAAUAGAUCUUUUAAAAUCUUCUUUUUCAAAGCAAGUUUCUUCAAAUGACUACUAUUAAAAUUGAUAUCACCAUGGAGCUGUAAAUAUAAAUCAUGAAGAAGCAUAGAAGCAUAGACUUCAUUAAGAGGAUUAGCAUGUAACAUUAUAAUUGUUCAGUAUAGGAUAUGUUAAUUUCAUAACACAAUUUAUACACAUUUACUUAUGCUGUCAACUUAGUUGGCAGUUGUACGAAGUCACGAAAAUAUAUGAUAAUCUGAACUAACACUUAACUUGCAGUUUACUAACUCCUCCUUUAAACGAACUGCCAUGGUUGAAAUAUCAACUUUUUGCCCUGUAUUUAAUUCUUUAUAAUUGUAUGCGUUUAUAUAAAUUUAUAUAGCUUGAUAUGUCUUGUUUGACUAAUUUUUUAUCUUUGUGUUGGCUAAUUUCAAUAAAUGGCUGCAUAAAUGCGGUAUAUUGCAGAGUUAUAUCCACCAUUGUGUUCUUAGAAGAAAAGUCAACUUGCAGCAAAUAUUGUGAAACAAAAUGGUCAAAUAUUUUUCUUGGUACAAAUUCUUCAGAUAUUUUUUUUAAAUAAUGAAAAGAUUAUCAAUUAAUCAUUAACACAGUUGAGUUAAUAAAUGUAUAAUUGCAAUUAUAUUUACAGUACAACUUUGCCCAAUUCCAUGGCAAAGACUCAAAACAAGUCUUUGAAAUUAAAACUAAACAAGCUCUUGACAUUUAAUGUGUUUGGUAGCACUAAUACAUUAAGUGAACAUUAAGUUAACAUAUCAUCAGACAACUGACAUGUGUAAAUAAGCGAAGACGAUUUCAAAUAGGUUUUAUUUCUUAUCACAGACAUGUUUGAGCACAAAGUAAUAUUACGCGACAAUAAAUAGUGCACAUUUGUACACGCAUAUACGAAGUACAACACUCCUGUAAGAGCAUCAUAUCUCAUCGUAAAAACACACGUAUGUAUAUUUCACUUUUCUAAAUCGGUAAAAAGACAACAGUGAAUUUAAAUCUUGGUAUGAAAGGACGAAAUAAUAUUGUGCAGUUUUAUUGAAUACAAUAACACCAUCGUACAUAAGCUUACGCACUAACGAACGUGCGCUUGCUUUGUUGAUUUAUUAAGUUGGAAAAUUAAAAACACUAUGAACGCAAAACAAACAUCGCCUUUCCAAGGUAAAGCAUACCCUAGCCAUCAUAAAUAUACACAAUGUAAUAUGUUGUAACGGAAUGACCUGAGCAUUAUUAAACAUACAUGUACUUUAUAUACAAACUUUCAUAUUCAGAACCGUGUUUUGUCUCUCAUUUUAAAUUUUAAUUUUAGAGAGAUUUAUUAGUAAAAUACGCUCAAAAAUGCAUGUUUGUAGAAAGAUUUUUUAUGUGAGCAAAGGAACCCCUAGUCAUGAUGCGUAUACUCAAAAUGCAUGUAUUUAUUAUCGUUGUGUGAAUGAAUAAACUGGCUAAACAGGUUUUUGAAGGUGAUAUAUGUCCAAUGGUGCGGAAAUCAAGAUUUCCUCGUGCACAGAUUUGUAGGUUUAGUCAUUCGACAGGCAAGCAGGGUAGAGCGAAGACUUGAUUUAAAUCGUUUUAUUUAUUUAUGCUCUGUUUGUGUGUUGAUGUUAAUAUUAUGUUUUAUGUGUUUCAGUGAGUUUUAUGAGAGCAGACGGAUGACUGACUUGAGAUGGAAAAGGGACAUUGGUUCCGGACAUUUUACCAUGGGAUUUACAUAGUUUUCUAAAAAGAAUACUUAACGUUUACGAUAUAGUAACAGCUGAUUAUUUGUAGAUUUCUCUAAAAUUAGAGGUUUCAGGAGGUGAUGAAGGCACCUAGACACUGGUCUUGAGCCAUGGGUCCUCAUACGUCCCCCUGCCAUUAAAAGAAAAAUGAAAAAUGAGCAGUAGGGUUGCGUAUCCCGCUCGCGGUUACACCUGAAUCGUUCGUUACCACCUAUUAUUGUUUGGGGUGUACGUGAAGUCAUGUGCACUUCUCUUAAUUGAUGGUAAUGAAUAAAUCUUGUAAUUAUCGCAGCUGCUUUUAUCAAAACUAAUGCUUCACAUUAUGUACUUUUCGCAAAUAGGCGUUGUGGAUGGGCAUAGGGGGCGUCCUCGGUGCGCUUUGGGCAUCGGCGGCGGACGGGCGGUUGUUAGGGCCGUGGCGUCCUUGGUUGGGCUUGUGAUUUUUAGUUGUGUAGUUAAAUUGUGCAAUUGUAUGAUUUUGAGUUUAGGCUUGACGUCUGAUGGGUAUUAAUUAUUUUCAAUUAUUCACAUGUAACGCAUGAGCAUGUUUAAUGAUACGUAUAACGACUUGUUCUACAGAAUGGAUUUAGUAUCGUUUCAGUUCUUAAAUAUAUGAGAAGGAUGUCGCAACGUUUACUGACGUCUCGAGACUCUUCAACUGAGCGGUGCCAUUGGGGUCGAUAUCUGUUGAACACAUACGAUCGUCAGAAGAUUUUUUUUCUUGCAUUUAUGUGUAGAAAUCCCUGUCAGAUACAAACACCCACUCCGUGCGUGUGUUUCAAGAAAUAAAAUACCCUGCUUGUCAUGACACAUAAACAAAUGUGUUUGUUUUUAUUCUAAAUGGAUUAGAUGAUAAAUAAUUUAUGUUUGUCAUAAAAUGUAAUGGAAUAUAAAACAUAAUUGGAAUUAACGAGUCACGACGCAUCGACUGGGAUAGACGGUACUGAAUGUGUAUUGAUUUUAACGAAGCGAUAAGUACAAUAUAUAUCUUAAGUAGAAACACAUAGGAAACAUGAAAUACAAAAAAACAUCGGUAAGAGUAGAAAGUUAAUAAUAGUGUGCCAAUCAUGACAAAACGUCGAGUAGAAGGAGUCCGUGUAUACAAAAUCGCUAAAUUAAUAACGUUAUCACAACUGUAAAGCGACAAAUCACAAGAAAACACAUAUAUAUACACAACCAAUAAAACCAACAUGAAAUAUAACUAAGAUUAUUUACAUCAACAAUUUAUAAUUAUAACAACGUUUAAACUAAAAUAAGUACACAACAAAGCCGUACGGCAGUUUGAUUCGUGUGAAUGCUUAUUAAAGUGAAAACAGACCACCUUUUUUCAAUACUUGAAAUGCGUCGCUUUUGUGUAAAUUUUUGCUUUUAUUAACAUAAAACUAACAAAGAUUAAGUGUGUUAAAAUAUUAUCAAAAUCUAUAUAAAAAAGCACAUGGGCAGGUUAUGAGUUAUGUUACUAGCGUGAAUACACCGUUCGUUACCAAAUAUACAUCAAUAUCAUCGUUGCCACAAAUAUGCCACUUUAAUUAUAUAAGUAGUUUCGUAUUGGUAUGAUUUCGGACAUGUGAAAAUAUAGUUAUAAAGUUUAGAUAAAUAUGAAAGAAGAAAGGAAAAAUGAAUUUUAAAUGUGUGUUAUUUAUUAUUAUUGAAAAAAGUAGUAUACUAUUGAAAUUAACAGUUAAUAAAUAGUUUCGAAAUUUGAAGACCAUAAGUAUGUUACCAAAUAAAAAACUUAAACAUAUCCAUGACAGUUUACAGAGCUUAUCGUGUGGACUUCUUUUGCGCACAAUAUGUCGUUGCGAAUCCCUUAUAAAACUGAGCCGUAGUUACAUUGAAAUACGACAAUAAUUCAAACAAAAAAACUUUUAAAGUUUGACAGCCAUACCUUGAAGGGUCGAAAAGAGUUCGAUGAGUCGAAAAAUAGUUCGAAUAUAAAUAACAUACUGAUACUGAAAUAUAGAUUUAAUAAUUGUGUUUGUAAAAUCUAAUUAGGCAGAGCAGAAUUUAUAAUAAUAGUAGUAGUCACCAUACGAUUAGAAAGUUUAUUUAAAAAAACACAUAUUAAACCGAUUUAUUUCAGUCUCUUCAUCACGACGAAAAACUGACUCCUUUGUUAUCUGCUAUGUAUUUUCUUUACAUCUCUUUCUCCUUUCAGGCAAUUUUCUAUACACCUGAGGUGACCUGUUGGCCGUCCGGCGUGCUUACCCAUCGGCGUUCGUUCGUCUGCGUGUUGUACUCGUACACCCGACCCGUCACUGUAAGCCAAAAAGAGAAAUGUGUUAAUAAUGUACAUUCAUCUACAUGUACCAAGCCAAACUGUAAACCCCGUUUUAAUUACGUGAAUGUAUAAAGCACUCUCAACCGGAAGCGUUUAUACAGACAGCAAUGAAACAGAAACCGUCAUAAAAUAUAGUGUCAUAGUGUUUACUCAUUUACGGACAUAUAACGCUCUUGUAUAAGACCAUGUUGUCUCAAGAGAGACAAUGCUUCCACGUAACGUAUACUAUGGUGUGGUCUAACUCGGCACAACCUGUCAUAAACAAGUGAAACGAAAACGUUCAGCGCCAUAAAGUACAUAUAUAGGAACAAUUCUACAUGAAAGGGAACAUACUGUAAGGUACGAUAUAAAUCGAUAUGUAAGCAUUUGCGAAGUCCGGAAUAUCUGAAUUUCAUGUUUGUGUUAUAUAUAUACCAAUAUAUAGCCAUGUUGUAUUUAAUACCUGGAUCUAUGGCACGUCCGUCAAACACGCGAUUCACUAUGACGUAAUCUGUAUCCGGCGGAGACGUAUUCGGUGGGAAUCCAGCAUUCGAUGUGUUUCUAGUCUGAGAUGAGUCGAUGGUGUUAGUCGAUUUGGGUUUUGUUGAGCGAUUCGUUGGGCUUACGCGAUUGUGGGAAUUUCCGGUCUUCUUUUCGUCCAAAGAUUCGGUUCUCGGCACUGGGUCCGGAUUCUUAGGUGGUUGAGGUGCCGGAUUUUUGGGCUUUUGAAUUGAAAAAAAAAGAAAGUCAAAUGUGCAGUUGAAAUGAUCCCACAAUUAACAUGACACCAACUUAGUUUUGGAAUAAAAAGUCCAACGCUUA